GACGAACGCUGGCGGCGUGCUUAACACAUGCAAGUCGAACGGAAAGGCCCUGCUUUUGUGGGGUGCUCGAGUGGCGAACGGGUGAGUAACACGUGAGUAACCUGCCCUUGACUUUGGGAUAACUUCAGGAAACUGGGGCUAAUACCGGAUAGGAGCUCCUGCUGCAUGGUGGGGGUUGGAAAGUUUCGGCGGUUGGGGAUGGACUCGCGGCUUAUCAGCUUGUUGGUGGGGUAGUGGCUUACCAAGGCUUUGACGGGUAGCCGGCCUGAGAGGGUGACCGGCCACGUUGGGACUGGAGUACGGCCCAGACUCCUACGGGGGGGAGGGGGGGGGAAUUUUGCAAAAUGGGGGGAAGCCUGAGGCAGCAACCCCGGGGGCGGGAUGAGGGCCUUCGGGUUGUAAACCGCUUUCGCCUGUGACGAAGCGUGGGUGACGGUAAUGGGUAAAGAAGCACCGGCUAACUACGC
rnacentral:rRNA from 1 species